GCCUAAUACAUGCAAGUCGAGCGAACGGACGAGAAGCUUGCUUCUCUGAUGUUAGCGGCGGACGGGUGAGUAACACGUGGAUAACCUACCUAUAAGACUGGGAUAACUUCGGGAAACCGGAGCUAAUACCGGAUAAUAUUUUGAACCGCAUGGUUCAAAAGUGAAAGACGGUCUUGCUGUCACUUAUAGAUGGAUCCGCGCUGCAUUAGCUAGUUGGUAAGGUAACGGCUUACCAAGGCAACGAUGCAUAGCCGACCUGAGAGGGUGAUCGGCCACACUGGAACUGAGACACGGUCCAGACUCCUACGGGAGGCAGCAGUAGGGAAUCUUCCGCAAUGGGCGAAAGCCUGACGGAGCAACGCCGCGUGAGUGAUGAAGGUCUUCGGAUCGUAAAACUCUGUUAUUAGGGAAGAACAUAUGUGUAAGUAACUGUGCACAUCUUGACGGUACCUAAUCAGAAAGCCACGGCUAACUACGUGCCAGCAGCCGCGGUAAUACGUAGGUGGCAAGCGUUAUCCGGAAUUAUUGGGCGUAAAGCGCGCGUAGGCGGUUUUUUAAGUCUGAUGUGAAAGCCCACGGCUCAACCGUGGAGGGUCAUUGGAAACUGGAAAACUUGAGUGCAGAAGAGGAAAGUGGAAUUCCAUGUGUAGCGGUGAAAUGCGCAGAGAUAUGGAGGAACACCAGUGGCGAAGGCGACUUUCUGGUCUGUAACUGACGCUGAUGUGCGAAAGCGUGGGGAUCAAACAGGAUUAGAUACCCUGGUAGUCCACGCCGUAAACGAUGAGUGCUAAGUG
rnacentral:rRNA from 1 species